rnacentral:rRNA from 1 species
UUGAACGCUGGCGGGAUGCUUAAGACAUGCAAGUCGAACGGGGCCCUUCGGGGUUCAGUGGCGGACGGGUGAGUAGCACGUGGGAAUCUGCUCAAUAGUGGGGGACAGCCCGGCGAAAGCCGGAUUAAUACCGCAUACGCCCUACGGGGGAAAGGCGCAAGCCGCUAUUGGAUGAGCCCGCGUAAGAUUAGCUAGUUGGUGAGGUAAAGGCCCACCAAGGCAACGAUCUUUAGCUGGUCUGAGAGGAUGGCCAGCCACAUCGGGACUGAGACACGGCCCGGACUCCUACGGGAGGCAGCAGUCGGGAAUAUUGGACAAUGGGCGCAAGCCUGAUCCAGCAAUACCGCGUGUGUGAAGAAGGCCUGCGGGUUGUAAAGCACUUUCAGUGGGGAAGAUAAUGACGUUACCCACAGCAGACGCACCGGCUCCCUCCGU